UUUUAGUUAAGAUGACAUUUUUGCAGAGCAACAACUUCAUUGACAUGUCAGUGCAGAAAGCAGGGGUACGUGGUUUCCCAGGAUGUCUGGAACAUGCAAACGUCAUCUGGCACCAGAUACAAACUG